UACAGAGACUGCAAGCGUUAUUCGGAAUUACUGGGCGUAAAGCGUGCGCAGGCGGUUUUGUAAGCCCGAUGUGAAAUCCCCGGGCUUAACCUGGGAAUGGCAUUUGGGACUGCAAGGCUCGAGUGCGGCAGAGGAGACUGGAAUUCCUGGUGUAGCAGUGAAAUGCGUAGAUAUCAGGAGGAACACCGAUGGCGAAGGCAGGUCUCUGGGCUGACACUGACGCUCAUGCACGAAAGCGUGGGGAGCAAACAGG
rnacentral:rRNA from 1 species